CACGUAGGAGGCAAACGUUAUCCGGAUUUACUGGGCGUAAAGCGCGUGUAGGUGGUUCUGUAAGUAGGGCGUGAAAGCUCCUGGCUCAACUGGGAGAGGCCGUUCUAAACUGCAGAGCUAGAGGAUGGUAGAGGGAGGUGGAAUUCCAGGUGUAGCGGUGGAAUGCGCAGAUAUCUGGAGGAACACCAGUGGCGAAGGCGGCCUCCUGGACCAUUCCUGACACUCAGACGCGAAAGCUAGGGUAGCAAACGGGAUUAGAUACCCGUGUA
rnacentral:rRNA from 1 species